UGACAGGGAGACAGGUGGUGCAUGGUUGUCGUCAGCUCGUGUCGUGAGAUGUUCGGGUUAAGUCCCCGCAACGAGCGCAACCCCUACGUUUAGUUGCUAACGCGUGAAGGCGAGCACUCUAGACGAACUGCCGUUGACAAAACGGAGGAAGGUGGGGAUGACGUCAAAUCAUCAUGCCCCUUAUGUUCUGGGCUACACACGUGCUACAAUGGCCGGUACAGACGGACGCAAAGCCGCGAGGUGGAGCAAAUCCUAAAAAGCCGGUCUCAGUUCGGAUUGCAGGCUGCAAUUCGCCUGCAUGAAGUCGGAAUCGCUAGUAAUCGCAGAUCAGCAUGCUGCGGUGAAUACGUUCCCGGGUCUU
rnacentral:rRNA from 1 species